AAGUGCCUUGAGAUGACAUGUUUCAUGAUUUGGCGCUAUAUAAAUAAAAUUUAAUUGAAUUGAAUUCAAUAAUCAUAAAGCUAGUACUUUCAGUAAUGAUCAACAUGAAUGCUUCAUAGAGUUUUAACACACAAGAUCAAAGGUUUAUCAUUUAUCUACAAUUUAGGUAUCAACUAAUUGAGUCAGGCCUGUUUUAUGUUCCUAUGCACACAUUAGGAAACUAAACCUGUUCAGUAACCAAAGUCAAGUCUGUCUACAGUACCCCAACCUGGAAAACCUCCUACUUUGCCCUCAAUUCUCCAUUCCAUUGACAAACAUCCACACCUUACAAAUCCAGGAGUACCAGUAGGGGGCAUGACAGGGCCGGCAAGGCUUUUUAUCAAGCUCCCAUUCAUGUGUCAUUUAUUAAAACCGCCCUCCAAGCAGUUUCACAUCCAAGAUAUUCUGGUGCACAAUUAUUUAGCUCUCAGCUUAAAAUUCUGCAAUUUCAUUAUUAAUUAAAGGGGUAAUUUUUAAGUUCAAAUUUAUUUGCAGUAGUUUUCCAGUAAUUCUUAACAGAAUGCCACCAAUGUGUGUCUUAACUUUCCUAAUCUCAGUUGGUCUAGGGUGAAACUAGAAAGUGAACUGCUUUACAAUUAUUCAUCAGCAGACAGAAUGAUUUUCUCUUUUAGUUUCUGUCAAGAUGUUUUUUGAGGAUGAACCCGGACAUAGCUCGCACACACAGGGUUGGAUAUUGAGAGAGUUUAUUUUACAGUUAGGUGUGGAAUGACAUGAAAAAAACAAAGUCUUUUUCCAGGCAGAGUUGUUGGGUGCAGAAGCUGGCUGACAGGAGUAGAGCGGAGAGAAACUGACCAGGACCUGAUGACUUCACAGAAGACCAAGACGAGACGCAGGAAACGAGAAGCAGAGCGUCGGAGCGGGUGGCUGGAGAUCUGCGCGGAUUGCCUGAGCCGAAGACUGGAGACGAAGGCAGAGCGUCGGAGCAGGAGACUGGAGAUCUGGGCAGAGUGCCUGAGCCGAAGACUGGGAGCCGAGGCAGCGCCGAUGACAGGAGCUGAGGCCGCGCCGAGGACUGGAGCCGAGGCAAAGCCAAUGACUGGAGCUGGGGCAGCGCCGAUGACUGGAGCCAAGACCGCGCCGAGGACUGGAGCCGAGGCAGAGCUGAUGACUGGAGCUGGGGCAGCGCCGAUGACUGGAGCCAAGACCGCACCGAGGACUGGAGCCGAGGCUGCGCCGAGGACUGGAGCCGAGGCAGAGCUGAUGACUGGAGCCGAGGCCGGAACGGAACUUCAGGCUGUGACUGAGCUGGAACAUAGCUGAAGCAGAGUUUCUGGCUAUGACUGAGCAAAAACAGAGCUGAAGUAAGGUCUCUGGCUGUGACUGAGCAAAAACAGAGCUGAAGUAAGGUCUCUGGCUGUGACUGAGCAAAAACAGCUGAAGUAAGGUCUCUGGCUGUGACUGAGCAAAAACAGAGCUGACACAGGAUUACUAGCUGAGACUGAGCAGGAGUUGAACACUACGGACCGGCAACGAAAACAGACUGAGCUGCCCCUCCUGUUUCUGCCUCUACUUAAGCAGCCCUGAGACCCAGAGCGAGUGCCAGAAUAUCUUGAGCCAUAGAGACCCGGACUGGACCCUGAUCUUGGAUUGCCCUACUGGACUGCCCACUGGAUUUCGACCUUCGGACCGUUUCCUGGAUUUGGAUUCUGCAAACCCUGAGUGGCGUCAGUCUGCUCUGUUGACCCUCCCCUCUUGGCUCAGUCGACUCUUCCCCCCAACUCGGAUUCUGUAAGGAGCUCCUAGCUAGACGCUGCCUGCAAUCAUCCCUGAGCCGUUUACCCGCACAAGUAAUAAAUCUGAUU